AUUGAACGCUGGCGGCAAGCCUAACACAUGCAAGUCGCACGAGUUGCGGACGGGUGAGUAAUGUCUGGGAAACUGCCUGAUGGAGGGGUAUAACUACUGGAAACGGUAGCUAAUACCGCCUACCAUCGUAUGUGCCAAGAUGGGAUUAGCUAGUCGGUGGGGUAAAGCCUAACCUAGGCGACGAUCCCUAGCUGGUCUGAGAUGAUGAACAGCAACACUGGAACUGCGACACGGUCCAGAGGCCGACGAGAGGCAGCAGUGGGGAAUCUUGCACAAUGGGCGGAAGCCUGAUGCAGCCAUGCCGCGUGUAUGAAGAAGGCCUUCGGGUUGGAAAGUACUUUCAGCGGUGAAGCGUUACCCGCAGAAGAAGCACCGGCUAACUACGUGCCAGCGGCCGCGGUAAUUC
rnacentral:rRNA from 1 species